CUUCAAGAACCAUCUGGGGACAUAUUGUGACUUUUGGGAACAAUGCCCCUUUAAGACUUUGUCCCCAGACUGUUAAUAUAUUGUGUUCCUGGCUUUCUCCCACUUGGUUCAGUAAAUGGGGCUUACUGAACCAAGUACCACACAGGCGGACCACCCAGAAGUGGAAGUGUGCAGGCAAUUUACCUCUCAGGCUGGGAGCCUGCUGUAGGUAAAUUGCCGAACGCUGGGGGGCCGCCGUUCGCGCAAACAAAAACGUGUCGGUGGCCAUCUUUG